UAAAGACAGAGUCACGGAAUAACUUUAUCACUCUGGAAAAGUAAGCUGAAACUUUUUUCUGCAAUAGGGUUAGAAAAACUUUAAUGUGAAAAUACCCCAAAUGUUUCAGCCUUCAGUGUGGAUGCAACAGAUUCCCAAAAUUCAAUUGCUUCUAUAAAUUAACUUUAAAAUAGAAAUAUAGGCGAUAAAACGUUGUAUCUGCUUUGUAUGACGGCCUUAAAGGUAAGAAAAAAGCAUUUGUUAAAAACCUAAAACCUUUAAAAAUCUAUGAUAUAUCAAACAUAAUGGGAGUUUUUAGUAAAAUCCCAAAGCGUUCUCCUGGUUAAGAGUGGAAACCCUACACAGAUCACUUAAGACAAACAACACUUGUUAACACAUUCCAGCAGCUUUAGCUUCCAAACAGAUGUCUAGAUAACCUUUCUAAGUGUGCUGCUUUACCUGUCUGAUCUUCGUCCCCACCAUGGAGGCACUGGUGUCGAUCACAAACACCACAUUCUUGGGCACUGCCGGCAGGUCUUUGGGGGCGAAGUAGUGGACAAAGUGGCCGUUUAAAACCUAGGAAAGAAAGAGGUUUACAGACAUGCAACAGGCAGUGAGUUGCAUCAGUUGGGUGGGAUUUAGAAAAGAAGUGCAGACACAGCGAAGUGUUUGGCAGCGGAGUGACGGCGGUGGCAAGAAACCAGAGAACUGAAUCACUAACGGGUGGGUGGAGGAGUGUGUGUAAAGUUGGAUGGGAAUUUAGUGUGCAAAAUAUGAAAGCUAAUGCUUUUUCAAUCUGCUUCUCAUCAUCAAAAUGUUCGCUUCUCUUUGUGUCUAUAAUGCAGAGUCUACAAAGGGAUCGUAGUGUACCUGAAUGUCUCCUAUCCCCAUCUCUCUCUGCACAUCGUAGCGGAUCACAAAGUCUCCCAGCAAGCCGUUGGUGGUGAUCUUGGCCUGUUGGACGAUGUUCGGGCCGAAGAUCCGGAGUUGGUGCUCCUGCCGUUGCGCAGCGGCAGCACCUGGAGGUGGGUGAUGGGGGGAGUGGUCCACGAUGGUGACGUCCAGGCUGAGGCGGCUGACCAGCUGGAGCGGUCGCAGGCUCGUCACGUGUUCGUAGCGUCCGAGCCGCCGCUGCAGCAGCUCCUCGUACGUCAGCAGGAACACGGCCCGGUUCCGACCCGGGAUGCUGGCCGACAUCCUGAACACCUCCAACUCCUGCUCUGGGCUGUAGGGUGGAGAGGGGAGGAGACAGAGUAAUGGUCAGGUACCCUUUAAACUGUGCAUUACUAUCUUAUUAAUACUAUAUUGUAAUAUACAAGUUUUAUUUUGUGGUACAAUGUACAUAUUUUUACUUUAUUCAAUUUUUUUUAUAUAUCUUUCUUUUAUUCUACGAUGCCUUUUUUUCGUUUUAUGUCAAUAUUUUAUACUAUUUUUUAUUUACUUUAGUUUUAACUCUUAAAGCCACUGUCAACAAGCCACAUCUCCCCUAGGAUAAAUAAAGUAUUCUGAUUCUGAUUU